rnacentral:lncRNA from 1 species
UUGCCCGGGGAUGGGUCCCUGACACUUGGCGAAGUAGGAGCCCUGUGUGAUCGUGCGUCUGAGUCUGGGCUGAGACCAGUCCUGGCCAGGGCAGUUACCAGGACGGUCUCCGGAGGCCGGGAUUCGCGGAGGGUCCACCAGCAGGAAGAAACCCCAAGAGGAAGAAACCUCAGACAGAUCGCCGGCGAGGCAGCGCGGGAUCCCAGCCUCAGGCGUGCGCGGACGGUGUGCGGGUGGAAACCCCCUUCCCAUGGGGUGAAGCGCAGUCUGCUCCAGAGACCCACUGUUAGGGUCGGGGAUGUCACAGAAAUUAACAGGGCAGCCAAUUCCCAUCCAGAGGGGCCCAGGAUGACCCCGAACCCUCUAGCUCAGCCCCAAGCUCGGGCCAGGGAGUGAAGCCUUUGUCCCCAAGCAACAGAGUGAGGGUCUGUCUCUAACCCGGUGGGCUCCAGUGAAAGGAAAAUGGCCUGGAGGUGCCCACAGGAGGGCGCCCUAGUUCUGAGACAGGUCUACGGCUCCCAGACUGUGUCCCCAUGAGUAACAGAGGGACACGCAGAGGGGCAUACUGAGUGCCUAUAGGGGACUCACAGACUGCAGAUGCACGCUGCGGAUCCAGAAGCCGGUCAGGUAAUGAGGUGCAGAGGUGUGGGGAAGACCUGGGUGCCUCCCUGGGUGCCAACCAGCCUAACCAGCCGGGGCCACCAAACAGAAGUGCUUCUGACAUUAACGCGACACACAGAAGGUGUGUAGGGUGGGUAGUGGAAGUGACCGCAGAGGCCUCUGGGGAUUGUAGUUUUGGAGCUAGAGAGGCAGGCAAGCAGUUGGGUUCGCCCACACGGUGUGCCUCUCACAUCUGCACAGCGCACACAACCAAGCUUAGGAGCCGACUGUUAAGAUGCCCCAGUGACACGGACAAGUUUCUCCUCUGCAACCCAAUGAGAGCUGCUGACCACGAGAGCAUCGCGGGACCGCCAAAGGAUUCUGGAAAAUGUGGUCCCGGGUGGCCAGUGUGCGCUGACCUUCACCUGAAGGUACGGCUUGAAGGAAACUUCUGGAGGGUGGGGUGGUGUUGAAGAGAAGGCACAAUUGUCACCAUUUUGUUCAACAUGGGCGUUUUCUUUGUGCAUUGAUUUGCAUUUUUAAAGGUAUUCCAUUAAAAAUAUGUUUAUCUAUUUUAA